rnacentral:rRNA from 1 species
UAAACGAUAAACCACGAGUAUCUUGCCUAUUUUAAAGUUUGUAUACCGUCAUUAUCAGAUAAUUUUGAUAAAAUAAAUUAUUGAAAUUAAAUUUAGUUAAGCAAAUUAGAUCAAGGUGCAGUUUAUAAAUAGGAAAUAAUGGGUUACAAUAAAAAUUAUUUAUAUGGAUUUAUAAUAUGAAAUUAUUUAAUGAAGGUGGAUUUAAUUGUAAUGUUGUUGAUUAUAACAAUUUGAUAUAGGCUCUAAAAUAUGUACAUAUCGCCCGUCGUCGCGGGAAA